AGCAAAUUCACCCUCUACCCAAGAGGCUACAAAACAGUUAGUUCCUACCUCUAACCCAACUAAAGGCUGGGGAAACUUGAGCAGAUACGUUCUAUCAGUUUGAACCCAAUUACCAUCUUACCAUUUUCCAAAGAUAUGCUAUACCUGGUUUCUUUACUAAAAUGUUUCUGCUUGACUCUCUGGGCUUGGGAAUAGUAGGCGAGUGCGGGAGAGGUGCAGAGAUGAGUUAGAAUAGCUUAGGCAGGAGGGUGCAAAAGGCUUAGGGAAUUUUCCUGGGUGGGUGCCACGACAAGGCCUCUAAAUCUCCCACCUCCUGUCUCUUAGCAACCACCAGGUUAGCUCCUGAUUGGUUCGUCCUCAAUUGAAAGGCGGGAUUUAGGGACCGAUUGAGACGCGGGAGACAUUCUGAAACAGAAAGGAAGGGAGAGAAAAUGAAGAGAAAGGAAAUAAUUUACAAACCUAAAUUAUGCUCUGGUUUCCAACCACAGUUCAUGAAUGUGUUCUAGUAUUUUUUCCCCCGCUUUUUUUUUUCCAGGCUUCUCUCAAUAUCCCCCUCCCGUCCUUGACCACUCUUGCAAUUCUACCAGAUGUUGCUGUCCUCCCUUACAAGAGGAAUUCUGAUUGAGAACUUCACUGGGAUUUCAAACCCAAUUCAUCGCCAACUCUAAUUGCCAGAGAUUUGCAUGAAAACCAUCGUAUGCUAUCUA
rnacentral:lncRNA from 1 species